CAGUAGCCACGGUAAUACAGAGGGUGCGAGCGUUAAUCGGAUUUACUGGGCGUAAAGCGUGCGUAGGCGACUUCUUAAGUCGGAUGUGAAAUCCCUGAGCUUAACUUAGGAAUUGCAUUCGAUACUGGGAAGCUAGAGUAUGGGAGAGGAUGGUAGAAUUCCAGGUGUAGCGGUGAAAUGCGUAGAGAUCUGGAGGAAUACCGAUGGCGAAGGCAGCCAUCUGGCCUAAUACUGACGCUGAGGUACGAAAGCAUGGGGAGCAAACAGGAUUAGAUACCCCUGUAGUCCCUGUCUCUUAUAC
rnacentral:rRNA from 1 species